rnacentral:lncRNA from 1 species
GGGGGGGGGGCUCGUGCCGAAGGCACGGAAAAUUUUUAAAUUUGAAUCCCGGAAAUGGCCGGCAUUUGCAUCAUUCUGAGACACGCAUAAUCAGAAAACCCAAAAGUGGGCGCCAGAGUAUGUCUGUUCGCAGGUAACGCUGUGAAUAAUAUAGUUAACAACAAAAAUCAUGACUAAAGACACCAAAAACGGAUCAAAAUUGGG